UUUCACAUCACGAGUCUAGUGAAAUCGGGAGCGAUGCACGCAUUUGCAAAUGGCGACUACGUGACGGGUGUUCACUCGCCGUCAAAAUGCAUGUGCAAUGUUUCCAAAAUAUCUAAGCACAAUUUGUGUUGCCUCUAACUGUAUUUGUAUUAAAACUGGUAUAAAAUAAACAAGCUAUUGUUCCAGUAUUCUUCAUAAAAAAGUCUAGUCUAAAAAGUUUCUACUUAAAGAGUAUUUCUUGUACUUAAAAACAUAUAUUUUACUAUUUAAUAUAAGAGCUGUGAUACACAAACUUGUGGACAUACAGACUGUGCAAUUUUUUACAUAUAUAAAGUGUGCAAUUUUUAUAUAUUAUUAAAUCUAAAGUUAUUAAAAUAUAAAAAUAACCUGGCUGGCCAAAGAUUUUGAAAGUUUAGUGUUAAAUUAUGUAUUUGAUGGAGAAGUGAUAUUGGAUGAGUCGUGAAAACAAGAUGGCGCUGCCUCCACAACAGUUCUGUGUGAGGUGGAACUCCUACCACACCAACCUACAGGCAGUAUUCCCCCGCCUGCUGCUAACGGAGCAGUUCGCUGACGUCACGCUCGCGUGCGAGUCCCGCCAGCUGCGAUGCCACAAGCUGGUGCUGUCUGCCUGCUCGGCGUACCUGGAGCGCCUGCUCACGCAGAACCCUUGCAAACACCCCAUUGUGCUCAUGAGGGACAUGCGGUUCAGCGAGAUGCAGGCGUUAGUGGACUUCAUGUACAAGGGCGAGGUGAACGUGACGCAGGAGGAGCUCCCCAGCCUGCUCAAGUCCGCUGAGGCGCUGCAGAUUAGAGGUCUAUGUUCAAGCGACAACACCGGCCUGUCUGAGUACACCAAGCCGGAGAACAAGGACUACACGGUCGCUAGCGAGGCCUUAGUCGCGCAUGCGCAGAGCCAGAACAAUGCCAACACCAACGGCCCCAGCCCGCCGCCAGCUAAACCGGCGACUCCCUCGACUAACGGCUCUAAGAAGCGUAAGUGUGAGGACAGAGAAGUGAAGGAGGAGACAGUGGAGGAAGACGGACUGUACUACGGCGAGCUGGAUACUGACAACAUGGAUUACAACGAGGAUGAGGAACCUUCAAAACCGGGCAGUAGUCUUGGACAGGCUUCGGGUCGUGGCCUCCCCUACAUACGAGUUAAGCCGGAAAGUGAAUUAUUUUUCCAAAACAAACUGCAAAAUUUAGCCAAAGUCAACUCUGACUACAUACAACGACUCUCAAGAAUGAACGCGACAGAUAUACAGAAGGAAUUCUCAAAAUACGGCAUUACAAACAUGGCUACCGAAGAUUUUCUGCAAAAAACCACAGAAAAAGCCGAAAACGACUACUACAAGUCGUGGUUAGAACAAAACGGCGAGCUGGAAGUCUCACUUUUGAAAGCGAGCCAGAUAAAAAAACCGAAAAUCGACACCAAAAACCAGAAAUCCGAGGUCGAGCUCAUACCAAAGAUGAAGGAAAGUGUUGCUGCUAAAGAUAUUUACCCGAAAAUCGUGGAGAAGGCUCCCAUCCGUAGGCGUGGGCGACCGCCUAUUUUUAAGGACAAGAAUGUCGAUAUAGGCGAGACGGUGCUAAAAUCGGAUUUAGAUCAGUUUUUAGAGGGCAAGGAGGUCAGUUCAUCAGGGUUGUCGCGUAAAGAUCUGGAGCGAGUGAUGAUGGGAAAGUUCAAUCCAAACAGACGGUACUCUAAUGAGGCGAUGUGGGCCGCUCUUAUGGAUGUCAAGAAAGGAGGGAGUAUCUAUAGGGCCGCGCAAACCCACAAAGUGCCGCGGAAGUCACUCAGGAAUUGGAUGAAGCGCUGUCACAUAAAGUCUUCGUUCCCGAUGCCGCAGCAACUCAAACAGUUCGUGGAGAACAGCAAGAAACAGAAAGAGUACAAGACCUUCGACACCUUCCAGGAUUCACCGAAUUUCGGAGAAAAAAGCGGCACGGAGACCGAGCAGUAUGAACCUGAAGUUGAAUUCGGAAAGCACUUUUUAACCUUCGCCAGUGCUACAAUGUCGAGCGAAGACGAAAAUGUUGCCACGCAAAAAAAUUUAGAGGAAAAUGGGGAGAGUACCAGUGCUGGCAACACUGGUAACGUUACCAAUGCCGCGAUCGAUAUGUCGUUGCAUGAGUAAAGAAAAAAUGUGUUCGAUUUUCGAAUUUGAAUUUGAACUGUUGAUGGAACGUGUCUUAUAGAUUAGGAAAAGUUGAUGUUUUAAGUACUUAAUACUGGCCAGUAGGAAUUUUCGAAAUGCCUUUUUAAUAAUGCCAAAAGUAUUUUUUUUACAAUUACUGUAUGGAAUCUAAACGUUUUUACCAUACAAAAAAAAAUUGCAAAUUCAACGAUUUAGUCGUAAUAGCUAUUUAUAAAAAUAGCGAUAAUUGGCCCAAAGGCGUAUACGAACUUUUUCUUAUAAAAAAAUAAUAAAAAAACUGCCAAAGAAAAAGCAAAGAAUAUGAAAACUGUAUGGUUAAUAUUAUUUUUAAGUUUUAAUUAUUUACCCAAAGAUAGAAAUGUUAUAAUUAUGUUCCUUUUUAGACAUUUUUUCUUUUCCUAAAAUAUGCCCAAAGAAAUUAGAGAAUGAAAUAUUUUAAAAAAAUAUAUGACUCAAGUGUUGCCAAUUAAAAAAACUGCAAUAGUAAUUGGGAAAAAUUUAUUGAGCCAUAUAUUUAACUUAUUAUUUAUUUUUAUUUUAAAUAUUAUAUUUAUAGCGUUUUAGAAUAGAUAAGGUAAACAGUUUUUUUUUUUAUUAUCACUUCCUAAAAAAUAUACAUGCAUAUAAAAUCACGCCUGUAUCCUUAUCAGGAUAGGAUUAACCAUAAGUCUUCAAUGAAACAACCGGAAGUCACGCUUGAUAUUCGUCCCAAAAUGGAUGAUGUGACAGAUAAAAAUUAAAAAAUAAUUAGGCUACUAUUCACUAGUAAGUAACGGCAACGGCCUCCGUGGUCCAGUGGUUGAGCGUUCUGCUCGGUCCCGGGUUCGAAUCCCGGUCGGGAUAAAUCACUUUGUGAUCCCUAGUUUGGUUAGGACAUUGCAGGCGGAUCACCUGAUUGUCCAGAAGUAAGAUGAUCCGUGCUUCCGAAGGCACGUUAAGCAGUUGCCCCGGUUACUACUUACUGAUGUAAGUACGUAGCCUUUACAUGAGUCAUGUCAGGGGCCUUUGGCGGCUCAAUAGUAACCCUGACACCAGGGUUGGUGAGGUCGGUCGUUGAGCUUACAACCCAGAAGAGAAGACUAUAUUUUUAGGAAGCGAUAAUUAAAAAUAAAUCCUUAUUACAGAAUCAAGUCUAAAGAUAAAACUAGGUUUAAUAUAAUAAUCUGCGCCGCGAAAAAAGUCGACGGUUUUUAAUGGAACUAAUUGAGAAGUAAUAGGUAAUAGGCUAGUUUGCAACUAGUCAAAUUAGCUACUUUUUACUAAACGUCAAAACACGAAAUACCUAUGGAAUUUGAGUAAAAAAAAAAUUACGUUUUUCUUGAUUAAAAUUUAUAAAUAAGCGACAUAACAAAACGAAUCACUUACUUUUUAUUUCACUAAACGUCAAAACAACCAUCACUAUGGAAUUUGUGUGAAAAAACAUUACGUUCUUCUUGAUUAAAAUUUAUAAAUAAGUUGCAUAAAAAAGGAAUUACUUACUUCUUAUUUCACUUAACGUCAAAACAACCAUCACUAUGGAAUUUGUGUGAAAAAACAUUACGUUUUACUUGAUUAAAAUUUAUAAAUAAGUUGCAUAAAAAAAGGAAUUACUUACUUUUUAUUUCACUAAACGUCAAAACAACCAUCACUAUGGAAUUUGUGUGAAAAAACAUUACGUUCUUCUUGAUUAAAAUUUAUAAAUAAGUUGCAUAAAAAAGGAAUUACUUACUUCUUAUUUCACUUAACGUCAAAACAACCAUCACUAUGGAAUUUGUGUGAAAAAACAUUACGUUUUGCUUGAUUAAAAUUUAUAAAUAAGUUGCAUAAAAAAAGGAAUUACUUACUUUUUAUUUCACUAAACGUCAAAACAACCAUCACUAUGGAAUUUGUGUGAAAAAAAAUUACGUUUUUCUUGAUUAAAAUUUAUAAAUAAGUUGCAUAAAAAAAGGAAUUACUUACUUUUUAUUUCACUAAACGUCAAAAUAACCAUCACUAUGGAAUUUGUGUGAAAAAAAAUUACGUUUUUCUUGAUUAAAAUGUAUAAAUAAGUUGCAUAAAAAAAGGAAUUACUUACUUUUUAUUUCACUAAACGUCAAAACAACCAUCACUAUGGAAUUUGUGUGAAAAAAAAUUACGUUUUUCUUGAUUAAAAUUUAUAAAUAAGUUGCAUAAAAAAGGAAUUACUUACUUUUUAUUUCACUAAACGUCAAAACAACCAUCGCUAUGGAAUUUGUAUGAAAAAGCACACUGUGACGUCAUAGAAAAACGUGAUAAAAUGUCGGAUUUAUUGUUAUUAGAAAAAAGAAAAUGUUUGUCGUUAGUUUUAGAUGUGUCUUUAUUUAGUAAUCAGAAUUGCAUAAUAUAUCUUGAAACUAGUAUACGACCCAAUUGUAUGCAGAAUCUGCGACAGUAGCGCCGCCGCGGGACUUCUUUGGUGACGCGAACUAUAUUUUAAACCAAGUUUAUCUCUUAGGGGUUUAACCACAUCUGGCGACACCUCAUAGCAGUUUCCUACGCUUCCUUUUCUUUUAGUCAGAUUUUCUAUUUAUUUUUAAAAAAAUGUCCUUCCUGCUGGAUAGAUGGCGCUGAACUUUGUAGGUUACUGCAUGGAACGGAACGUUAUAUUACUUGUGAUUUUCCUUUUGAAAUCAUAAAACGAAACGUAUUUUUCACAAUGAUUAUGUUUUGAAAAUAAAACUAAUUAACAAAUAACGAAGAAAGAAAUCUUAAAUAACGAAAAAUAAAACUGAAUCUUAUCAGAAUAUCCCGAGAGAAUGAGAAUUAAAAAAAAAUCUUUGUCUCGUUUAUUUAUUUCUUAAAUUAAAUUUAAGUUUUUUUCUAUCAGUGGCAUCUAUCAAUGGCCCAGUAACGUAGCUUAACUAGCGUCAUCUAUCGAGUUCUUGAGAACUAUUAUUUUUUACAUCCUAAAACAGAAAAUCUCAUUUGAAAAAUGUGAAUCGACGAGGCGAUAGCGUGCGUCAACGUGCGGUCGCUCUCUUUCGCUCUAGCAAAUGACGGUUCUGAAUAACAGAAAAGAAUAUAAGCAUAGGAAAGUGCUAUCAGGUGUUGCCAGAUGUAGUUAAAUCAUUAGUCUUCAUUUUGUAAUAAUUCUAAUAUAUUUAUAAUAAUUUAAUUAAUAUUUAAAACUGAAAUUUGGCCUUUUGAAAGAAGUGUGCUUGAACGGACUACGUCCAAUGUAAAGACUUAAAUGAAAUUUUAGAUUUUAAUAAAUAUUUGAAAAUGUAUAAUUUGUAAGUGAAACUAAAAAGUACUUAUAUUAUUAUUAUCAUAAUACGCGGAUAUUUUUUAUUCACUUUUUACCUUCUUUGGGUGACCUUUCGCUUUCAUAUACAGGGUGUUAGUGACACCGUAAAGACUACAGAGGGGGAUGAUUCAGACCAUGAUUCUAAGACAACAUCACUAUUGUUCCUUGUGGAUUAGGGGUGAAUAAAAAAUAAUCAUGUAUACAAAAUGGCUCUGAUCCUAGCAGAUACUUAAUUUUAUUUUAAGUUAUACCUGUCAUUUUUUUUUUCGCCGAAAGUUGAAGGGACGAAUUGUCGACAGUCAUAAAAUUAACGGAACACAUGUUAAUUUUAGGCCGAAAUUUAAACAACCUUACUAAAUUUUGGCCAAUCUUACAUUGGCCAAUAACCUGACAAAAUUAAAUUGAGAGCACACGUCAAAGUUGCACAGCAGCGAGACGCCUAUUUGAUUCACCCGGAUUAUUCUUUCUUUUUAAAGUUAACAGUUGUCAACCAUCCGUCCCUUUCCGGCGGAUAAGAAAAUGACAGGUAUAACUUAAAAUAAAAUUAAGUGUUGUCUGCAGGAAUCAGGUCCAAACCAACGUGUCCGUUUUGCUUUCGGUGUUUCAAUAUAAGUCGAUGACAUUUGCUAUUGCAAAAAUGUUAAGCUUUUUUUUCAAUAAUGAAGGACUUUCCAGGCCUCGUUCCCAAACAAAAUAUAGAUGGCGCUGUACAUAUAUUUAACGCGAUUACUUAGGCUCUCAAAAUAAAAAUAUAAUUUAAAAAAUAUAAAGUGUAAUGGCAGAGGCAUAUUAUUAUAUAAAAAUAAUUGUUGCUUGAUAUUUGGAUCACAUUAUGUACGGACACGAGUAGUAAUAUGUAUACACUUUGAAACCAUGUCACAUUAACUUUUUUGACAAAUUUAACCGUAAGUCUCAUUAAAUGUCAAAUAUGAAAGUGCGACAGGGUUCACCCAAAAACAAAGAUAAAAGAUGCAUGUUUGUUAUCCAUGAAGUGCCAUCUAUUUUUUUUUUUUGGGAACGUGGUCUGGAGUGUGCCUCAUUAGGUCCAGUUGAGGAUUGACCUAAAUCUGACCAGCCUAAAACCUUAAAUAUGUUCCUACUUUUUAACGAAAAUCUUCACACUGUUUACUCUACUGUUAAAAAGAGAGUAAUGUUUACAAAAAAGCUGUUUCGUUUUGUAUUCUGUGGCGUGCUUCAUUUGGCACUAAAUAGUUAAAAAAAAAAACUGUUUUAAGUGUAACAAUAAUAAUGUCAGUUUUAUAAGCGUCUUUAAAAGAUUUUUAAGUGAAAUACGGUACCGUACCGUAUUUAUUUUGAUUGUUUGUAAUGAAAUAUUUGUUAAAAUGCUAAAUACAAAUUAUGUUUUCUUAUAUACAAAAUUGCAUCCAAUUAACGGCCUAAGCUGUAAGAGAAGUUUCUAACUGCAAUCGAACUGUAAUUCAACUGCAAUCUAAUUGCAAAUAGGUUGCAUAUAAUAUUGUGCCUCAUUAAAUUUAACUGGAUUAGAAUGACAGCUGAGGCGCUAAAAAGACACCCCCGGUCAACAACUCUUUUUCCCGGUAUGCAUUUUUUACCCUACUAUGUAUACUACUCUAUAUCCAGUUAUAUGCCUUUCAUCCCUCCUCGUUACAUUUAUUAUUCAUUGAUUCUAAUCAAGCUACAUUUUAUCAUCAUCAAUUUAAGAGCCACGCUCUUGUCGGUGCAGCAUUCUCAUUGCUACAUUUUUAGGUAAAAAUAGGACAGUGGUUGCCCUCUUGCCUUCCGCCCCGCAGUACUCUGACGCGAGUGGGAUGGCGCCCAGAGUAGUAUAUUACAAAGCUGCACUAGGACUCCUGUCCUCCGCCUCUGAAUAGUACUGACAGUUACUGCUGCCCUCUGUCAGGUUCCAGGUUACAUUUAAUGCGGUACAAAAAAUAAACUAAUAUUGGUACCGUCAUGAGUAUUAACAUGUAAACAUUUUGGUACCAUGUGUACCACUCCUAUCCACGUGUCUGUGUGACACAGCAGUAAAUAGAUUCAAUAAUAAAAUUGUCAAAAAUUGCGUAGGUACGGGCGUCUUAGCAUCUACAGCGCGUGGUGAUUCGUAACGCGGUCGGGUUAUACAACACAUGUUGCCAGUUCGUCGUCUAAUCGCGUACUACGGAAUCUCAGAGCAUGCAUCGCCAUUUCUGUUCUAAUUUUUCAUGCCACUUUUGGAGCGUUCAAAUUCAAGCUACGGUACUUAUAUAUAAAUGUAUGACUAUUCCAAAAAUUGCAGCCAUUUUAUUAUUUAUAAAAAAUGUUUCUACUAAAAUAUUAUUUUUAAAAGUAAUUGAUGUUUACAGGGACAAAUAAUUGUAGAGCCAAAGAUAUAAUAACCUAGGUUUCGUUCGCUCUGCUUAUUUAAAGUGAUGAUUUGUUUGUUUAAAGUAAGUCAAUUCCUUAUAGGUCUUUUACUAAGUACUACAAAAUGUUAGCGACAAAAAAAAUAUCAAAUAAUGAGGAACUUGGCAGGUCACGUUCUCCAAAAAAAAAAUUAGAUGGCACUGUACAACGGUGCCUUCGUUUAACCUUCUAAUUGCAUGAAUAACGCAUCUUUUUUUUUCUUUUUUCUUUUUUUUUUGGCUGUAAAUGAUGACCCUUGUUUUUACAUUAUAUUUUUGAAUAAUUAGGUAGGUGCCCGAGCAAUAGGUAAUUAUCACGUGAAAGGUAUUCAGCGCCAUCUAUAUAUCGUCACUGAAAAGGCAAAAUUACGUAAGCGCCAAAAUGCCAUUUCAAGAAAAUGUCGUUUAAAGUAUUUUUUCGUUUUUCUACUGUAACUUUUUACCCAUAAAUCCAAUUUAGAUGACGUCAAUGUAAGUCUACAUUGUUUUUCAUUUUCUAUAUUUAGCAAUACAUAUUAUAACAUGGACUGCUAUUUUAGGAUAUUUUGGCGCUUAUGUAAUUUUGCCUUUCCAGUGACGAUAUUUUUUGGGGACCGUGCCUUAGAGAUUCCCUUAUUGUAAAAUAAUUUUCAAUGUACUGAUUCAUAAUCAGAACAAAAUGAUAAUUAUCGCAACAUGCCCAAAGAUAUGCCAAAACUAAAAUAUUACAUUUUAAAAUACUUACUUUUGUUAAUUAAGUAAUUGUAAAAUUAUUGAUUUUGUGGGUAGCAAAAAUUUUUUCGUAUAAAAAAUGUAUUUUUCGAUGUAACGGGAAAUACAAUACAAUACUUAUAUAAUAAUAAUAAUAAUACGAAAUGAUAUGUGGAUAUGAAUUUAAUAUAAUAGGCUAUGAAUGAAAACAUAGGGAA
rnacentral:misc_RNA from 1 species